rnacentral:lncRNA from 10 species
AGGUUUGCUGGAGUUUGGAUUUACUACUGAGUCAUAUUUGGAGCAUGCUGGAAUCUUACAACUGAGAUUACCGAGUCAGAAACUUGCAAACAUGAGUAACAUGGCCCUGCUCUGGAGACUACUGGGAACACAAACACAGCCAUUUAAGACAUCUACCUGCUUCUCCUUUGCCUUCCAUCAUGACUGAAAGUUGUCUGAGGUCUCCCAGCCACGUGUCCUGUACAGCCUGUGGAACUAUGUAGAAAGGAAAAAGGGAGAGAAAUGGAGACAUUUAUUGAAUCCAGGCACCAUGCUGUGGAUUGCUAAAUACAGCUUCGUAAUUUGCAUCUAGUUAUCUGGUCUUCCAAGCUAGCUUUUUCAAGUAUUUUUACCUUUACACAUAAAGUUCUAUUGGAGAUGUACUUCACCCUUUUCUGCACUAAAGAGUUUAAUUUUUCAA